GCCUGGGUGGCUCAGUGGUUGAGCAUCUGCCUUCAGCUCAGGUUGUGAUCCCAGGGUCCUGGGUUAGAAUCCCACAUAGGGCA
rnacentral:tRNA from 1 species